UGAAGCAUGCUGGGAAACCUGUUGCAAAGAGGCGCCUGUGAGUAACGCUAGCUACCAACCUAAACUUCCACAGCCGACGGUUUGACUUCCUGUAACCUACCUAAACACUUGUACCAAUGAGUUAUUCCAUACAAACAGUGUUAAUAAUAUCAUAAAUUAAAACCUGCGUGUUGUCUCGUAAUGGCAGCCCUUUGAAAUGACACCGUGACCUGUUUGAGUCUCUGACACAGAGGUUGUUUAAGCUAACUCUGAAUAUAGACCGAAACAAGCUUUUCCAACGGUUUGUUCCCAACAAAGACUCACCUUUAACGCCUUCUCCGUCUUACUCUUGAGUGAAGCCAGUGUUUAACGACCUACGGCAGAAGAAACUCGACGACCGACAUGUAUAACAAGAGCACCAGCAGGUAACACUGGACAGCUGUAGCAGGGUGGUGGUCCAGACAGUGAGAGGAGGAGAAAGCAAGCUUAGCACUGUGUGAGGCAGGGGAAGAACAAGACGGUGAGAAUGCUGCAGGUCUAUCUGCACUCUCAGCACUGAGACAUUUAAGGACAAAAUAUACUGAGAAAAACAUUUCAUGAGGCUUUUAUCAGAUAAAAAUGGAUAGCCUCUAAAGUACAAUAAAGAUGGGAGCUCCUGCAGGACUUCCUUGGCUUGCAGGCUGCAUGAGUGACACACUCCUCACACAACCAAACACUACAUCACCCAGGGGAGCAUGGUGACAGAGCUGCAGCCUCCAGCUCUGCUCUGCGUUCUGUUUGGGGCCGUGCAGCUGGAGUCAGGUUAGAGAGGGAUGGUUUGUCAGGUGAGCACCACACUGGGCCAAGCCUAGCUCUCGCAGUGUGCCGCUGCAGCUGGCCAAAAAAGACAGACUGUGAGCCCUGGCUGUCAACAUCUGCUCCAGAGACUCAACCAUCUGCCCAGGGGCCCCGGGGGGGAGCAGCUCUCCUGUCUCAGACCAGCUGCAGAGCCCCAGACGUGGACUUGAGCGGUCCUGCAGAGGCAGAGAACAUGGCCAAGACACAGUCAGAGCCGCUGAGCGCAGGGACAUUUGUCUCAAACACUUGGACAAGUUUAAUCUGCACGGUGCAAUCACAGGGAGGUUUAGAUAAACAAAUAUCUGGAUAGUCGUAUCAGAUACGAAGUGAAGUGACAGAUUUCAGGAAAAUGUAGCUAUGUGAGGGAAAAAUCUUGGAGUAAUUAAAUUUGAAAGCAAAAGUCAAGUCCAGCAUCUUUUUGUUAAGACCUUUUAUUUCAUCAAUUUGAGAGAAACAAGUAAAAACAGUGUACAAAGUUUAUAUUAUUUGUUUACUAAAGCUGGUGUCCUCAGUCUCAGGAAUAUGGGAGGGCAGGUACAAAACAAGUUGAGAUAAAAAAUAAAAAGUAUAAAAUGAAUUUCCCUAUUUUCAGAAGAUGACAGCAAAGGGUGAGCGUGCAUAGGAAAUAAGUAACAAUCAGAUUCAAAAACUGAACAAGAGGCUUGCAAACGAUUGAAGUGAAAACAAUAUCAUAAAAACCAUUACAUUCAAUAACGUAUGAUGCACUUUUGACAAAUGAUUAUCCGUCAUCUUAAAAAAAUACUGAAGCACUCCUGGAAACUUCUCAGUACACUUUGAAAUAAGAGCUUCAGUUCCCAAGAGGUUCGCUUCAGCUGUCUGUAAAAAAGGGGGGCAAUUGUUCCAAUAAGCAAUUCUUGUUUAUUUGUUUCCACAACAUUUGAAUUUACAUUAUAAGAAGACACUAAUUUUGUCUUUAACAACCAUAAAAUACAAAUAAGAGUCCAAAUACAAUCAUUUUGGGGCAGCAAAGUGCAUAUCAUUGGCACAGUUAAACUUGUUUUAGUCAAUGCUGGUCUCAUAAAUAACUCAAAAGCUCACGAAGGGACAUGUGAUCCCUGGAGUAACAAAUCAAAGAUGACUCUUUAUCUUCUUCCCCUGAAGCCCAGUUUGCUUGCAAAGUAUUCCUAAAGAAGUGAAUUAUGUUAAAGUGACCUCACUGAGGCUGCUGUGAAUGCACUGGGUGGAAAAAAAAAAACACCCAAUACUGAACUGUACAUGGAGGAAAAACCCGAGAGGAGAGAAGAGAGAAACCAGGAGGAGUCUGCAGCAUCCAGAGAGGAAGGCAUCAGGAGAUAUAAGCACUUACUUCAGGGGAGAAGGGGGGCUGGAGGAGUUUUCUAUUCUGAACUGGGGAGGGUCUCUCUGUGACUCUGAUGUGCAAACAGUAAAGAGGAAAUCCAUAGCAGGAGAGCUUUUACCUUAAUGAUUAAUCACUAUGCGUUCUCUCCUCACGUCACACUGUAUUGCACAAUUGAUUCAUCAGACUCAUCACGGUGUAAAAUGGAAAUACGACAGACCGCUUGGUGUCAGUUUUGCAUCAGGGAAGUAGAAAAGUGAUAAAAAAAAAAUCCUCUCCAGAAGAUUUCAGUCUUGAGGAGAAUCAGCCACAGAAGUAUGCAGAAAGAUCGACUUUAUUUGAUACGGUACAUUCACUUUGAAGCCAAAAAUGUCUUGAAUGGUGUCUGAAUUGUUCAGGAGUCUUAAGGAGGAAAACAUGGAUUCAUUACCCACUCGACAAACAACACAACUCACUGCUCAUUCGAUGGUUUUGGUCCACAGUCUGCCUGUUUCUGUUUGAAAUGAUUGAUAUUCAGGUGUAUGCUUUUGAUACAAUAAAUGGCCCUUUUCAAAAUUCA